UUUCGGGGGAGUACUGCCAGACUUGGAACCGGGAGAGGUAAGAGGUACGUACAGGGGUAGGAGUGAAAUCUUGUAAUCCCUGUGGGACCACCUGUGGCGAAGGCGUCUUACCAGAACGGGUUCGACGGUGAGGGACGAAAGCUGGGGGCACGAACCGGAUUAGAUACCCGGGUAGUCCCAGCCGUAAACGAUGCUCGCUAGGUGUCAGGCAUGGCGCGACCGUGUCUGGUGCCGCAGGGAAGCCGUGAAGCGAGCCACCUGGGAAGUACGGCCGCAAGGCUGAAACUUAAAGGAAUUGGCGGGGGAGCACAACAACGGGUGGAGCCCUGCGGUUUAAUUGGACUCAACGCCGGACAACUCACCGGGGGCGACAGCAAUAUGUAGGCCAAGCUGAAGACUUUGCCUGAAUCGCUGAGAGGUGGUGCAUGG
rnacentral:rRNA from 1 species